AUUGAACGCUGGCGGCAGGCCUAACACAUGCAAGUCGGGCGGAUGAAGGGAGCUUGCUCCUGGAUUCAGCGGCGGACGGGUGAGUAAUGCCUAGGAAUCUGCCUGGUAGUGGGGGAUAACGUCCGGAAACGGGCGCUAAUACCGCAUACGUCCUGAGGGAGAAAGUGGGGGAUCUUCGGACCUCACGCUAUCAGAUGAGCCUAGGUCGGAUUAGCUAGUUGGUGGGGUAAAGGCCUACCAAGCCGACGAUCCGUAACUGGUCUGAGAGGAUGAUCAGUCACCCUGGAACUGCAACACGGUCCAGACUCCUACGGGAGGCAGCAGUUGGGAAUAUUGGACAAUGGGCGAAAGCCUGAUCCAGCCAUGCCGCGUGUGUGAAGAAGGUCUUCGGAUUGUAAAGCACUUUAAGUUGGGAGGAAGGGCAGUAAGUUAAUACCUUGCUGUUUUGUCGUUACCAACAGAAUAAGCACCGGCUAACUUCGUG
rnacentral:rRNA from 1 species